rnacentral:tRNA from 1 species
GCCCGCGUGGUGGAAUGGUAGACACAGGAGACUUAAAAUCUCUAGGCCGAAUAUGGCCGUGCCGGUUCGAGUCCGGCCGCGGGUACCA